UACGUAGGGUGCGAGCGUUGUCCGGAAUUAUUGGGCGUAAAGAGCUCGUAGGCGGUGUGUCGCGUCGGCCGUGAAAACCUGGGGCUCAACUCUGGGCGUGCGGUCGAUACGGGCAUCACUUGAGUUCGGCAGGGGGAGACUGGAAUUCCUGGUGUAGCGGUGAAAUGCGCAGAUAUCAGGAGGAACACCGGUGGCGAAGGCGGGGUCUCUGGGCCGAUACUGACGCUGAGGAGCGAAAGCAUGGGUAGCGAACAGG
rnacentral:rRNA from 1 species